CUGAAGAUUUGGUCGCAAGACCGCUCUUCCACCCUUUGUUUACCAUACCAUGUUGCUUUGGCGAGUCGCCCUAGGCCACCGGCUUCGGCUGGUGCGUGCUCGCCAGAGACCUCAAACAACCUGAUUUUCGUGUUUGUCUGAACAACUUUUAAAUUAUUAAAACCUUCAACAAUGGGUCUCUUGGCUCUGGCAUCGAUGAAGAACGCAGCGAAAUGCGAUACGUAAUGUGAAUUGCAGAGCUCAGUGAAUCAUCGAAUCUUUGAACGCACAUUGCGCCCCUUGGUAUUCCGAGGGGCAUGCCUGUUCGAGCGUCAUUAUCACCCCUCAAGCCUAGCUUGGUGUUGGGGCCCGCCCGUCAGGGCAGCCCUUAAAAUCAGUGGCGGCGCCGUCAGGCUCUAAGCGUAGUAAUACUUCUCGCUAUAGAGCCCUGGCGGUCUCUUGCCAAAACCCCUAAUUUUUUAUGAUUGACCUCGGAUCAGGUAGGGUUACCCGCUGAACUUAAGCAUAUCAAUAAGCGGAGGAAUCGCGAUCUUGGUCAUUUAGAGGAAGUAAAAGUCGUAACAAGGUUUCCGUAGGUGAACCUGCGGAAGGAUCAUUAACGAGUUUUAAUUGUUAGGUUAGAGUUGAGCUGGUUAAUCUAAUUAAUAUGUGCUUACUCUAAUCGAAACAAGUCCACUCAUUACUUAACACUUGUGAACUUAUUCAUUACAAACAUUAUUAUUUGUUAUUGGAACGUUUGAUUAUUAAAAAGCUAAUA
rnacentral:misc_RNA from 1 species